AGGAGAGCUGCUGUCAAUUUACCACCCCUCUGCUUAUUGCUUUGUUUUGCUUUCCUUCUUUGGUUCAUUUUUUUUCUUAAAGUUUUUAUCUCCUUUAACUGUUUGGUAACAGAUGUUGGAUGUUGUCUCUAAGGGUAUGAAUGAGAGUGAAGUGACAAAAAGAAAGCUAUAGCAGCUCUGACACCUGCUUUUGGUUGUGUCUACCAGCUCCCACCCAGGGCUGCAAAAGCAAAUCCCAAACUGCUCUGAAUUUUGUUUACAGUUUGAAGAGUCUCCUGAAAAACCUUCAGUCCAGAAGGAUUCUGCUGUUUCAUCUCUAACUUUAUUUCUCCUUCAUUGUUCUUCUUAAUGAAUGCUAUUUGCAUGACAACAGGGCCUUUUGUUUCUCAAGAGCUGAUCCAUCCCUAUUAAUUAUUCCUCCCUUGGAGGUUGACCACUGGAGUCUCCAGUGAGCACAACUGGGUGUUAAAUCACAUCCUCCAGACUAUAAUCCUGACUUCGUUUCCACACCUCCUGACUGUGAUGUAGAAAAGGGUUUCUGACAUCAGGUGCAGCGAAAGUUGAGGGAAUGUGGUUUGCAGUGAGAGUGGGGUGCACUAAUUCAAGAAAUUGAAGUUUCAUCAGUGCAUUCCCACUUUGCUGCCGUUUUGCUCCAGCAGGGUACCUGCACUGUGGUUUGUGCUCCAUGGCUGGUUUGUCACCUUCUGCAGGCUUGCAGUGCCUCUUCUGCAUCUCAUUGGGUUUGGGAAACUUGCCUAGUGAUAGUUUGUUCUGAUUUCAUGAGUAAUCAGUGUGGCACAAGGCUUUUCUAGGUGCCCUCAAACUGGCCUGCAAAUGUCUUCCAUCCUCCCAGCUCCUUCAGGAUUACCUUCAAGUAAUCCUGAGAGCCCAUCUCCAUUCGAUUUGGUGUGGGUGGCUGAGUGGGAUACCCCAGAGCAUCUCAAGUGGCAGCGAAUGCGCCUCAUCACACAGCAGGGUCCUGCCCCAUGAUCCCCACUGGGCAGCUGUGGACCAGAGUGGCUGCAAGAGCCUGAAGUCAGAGCAAGGACAUGUAUUUCAGAGCUCAGCCUCUUUUGCUUUCUUGCUACUCAUAUAAAAUAGCCCACAUAAACACAUUCAUUAUUAAUACCAAGUUAUUUCACUCUGCUUGAGGGAAACAAAUCUAUCUGCAGGGUUUUUACAGCCCCACUGACUUUGGUCUGCAGAAAGUCCCAUUCAUUUAUUUCUGUCCCCUUCCAGCUGGAAUGUUUUCAGGCCUAUCAGCAUAACUAAAGCCAGACUGGUUUCUGCUGUCUGCAACUUCUCAUGCAUAAACCUAUUUCAAAUACUGUCCCUCAUUGUCUCAAACACUGGCUGGCCGAGUGGGCCUGGGUUAGAUGUCACUCUGGGAGAUGGUUUCACUUGUCACAAAGUUAAUACUUAACAGGGAAUGGUCAGGAUUACGUUGAUGUGCUCUGAAGUGCAGUCUAAACUGGAUUUCCUGGGUUUGUAAUGCUUGGUUUCAGGUGAACAACUGACUGGCCAUGUUUAGAAGUCUAAAUUGCCAAUAUUUGCUCACAGGUAUAAAACCAGCUUAAUCUCCUGGAAUAGAGACGAGGCUUAAUAGGAAUCUGUGACACUUCCUGAGCCUGAAGGACGAAGUAAUGGCAGCACUAGAAGGAAACAAGUUUGGAAAAUGAAGGACAGAUGAGCUAGAGUUUCAUGGCUUUCCUAGAUUUGGCAGCCUGUCAUCAGGUGGACAGUGUAAGUUCCUGUUCUGCAGAUCAAGCCACUUCCCUGGCAUUUCAGAGGUAAGCUCUCUUGCGCUAUGGUUUGAGACAAAGGUCAGCACAAUGGAAAAAGGAUUCUUACAUAAAAACUAGCAAUUAUUGGAAAGGAAGAGCAGGUUGGUGGUUUGCUCUGUAAGGACACAAUGAUGCCAGGUAAACAAUUCUGUGAGCUGCUAGUUUAUAUUACAGAAACAUGGGGAUGGAUCAGCUCUUGAGAAACAGUCCCAGAAACUCAGCCUGAUGAGAACAGCUGCUGGUGGGGCUGUGUGUACCAGUAAGGGUGCCUCUGCUGGGUCACGUGCAGCCUGCGUACUGCUGGAGCAGAUACAGGCUUUAUUCAGGCUGCCCGCCCAGGUAUGUGUGUCCCCACAUUUGGCAGUGCCACUGGCUGUGCACUCAGUAUCCUCCUUUGCUGCAGAGCAAAGGAAAGCGCAUGAGACAUGGCUCAGCAGUGGGGCAGCAGCCCUGUCAGUGGCUCAGCUCUGUUGCUGUCUGCGAGGAACUGAGGGAGCCUGAGGCGAGAAGAAGAAAAUCCCUCACCCAAAUACAACAGGACAGGAAAGCCUGAGGUUGGGAAGCAUUAGGGGAUCUGAGUGGUUGGAAGGGAGAAGCAUCACCAGCGAUGCUGCAGGUUGUUCAGUGCCUGGGAGCUCAGCCCUCCUGCAGCUGCAGGCCUUGGGAUUUUGCUGGGAGAUGCACUGGGCCCCUGAGCCUCCAGAUUCAGGUAGGUUUACAACAGAUGAGGGGUUACACUAACGAGCUGGAGCUGUGCAGAGCCACUGUGCUGAACAAAAUGGUGGCCUGGGCCCGCCAUGCAGUAUACUGCUCUCCUGCAGGGUCCCCCUCCUUGCGUGAAGCAAUGCCAGCCAUUUUAAUUCUGUGAGGGAGCCCACUGCUGAGAGCCAACGGGAUGACAAGUUGAUUGAGGAAUUCCUGAAAAGUUAUCAAUAUUUAGAAAGCCCUUUAGUUCAUUGUCUCUGUAGAAUAUUUCAUUAGACCUUUCUUUUUCCUUCAGUGUUUUUUUUUUUUUUUUUUUUAAUAAUAGCUCAUCAAAGGAAAUUCUAGGUCUAGGGAAAUAAAAGAAGAAAGUAAAAUUUCAGCUUCUUACCCAAAGUUUUACUUGGUACAGGUCUAGUGACAAUUAAAAGACAUUUUAGUCAAGCUUGAUGUUUAGAAAUCUACGCAAGAGAUGAUGCCAAAGGAUAGUUUUUUCAGUCUUCAAAAACAAACAAAAAAAUCCCAGCAAGUAAACAUGCUAUAGGCAAAACAAAUGAUAUAAAGUACAUUUAGUCUUCAGAUUAUGUAGCAAGAAGGAAGUUUUUAAGGUAAGGUUUCCCUACAAUGCAGUACUGCCUCUUGCCAACUCACCUUUGGGCUAUCUCUAGCACUACUCGUUGACUUGCUCCCCUUGACUUGUAGAAUUCUUGAAUCUUGUGUGUUCUUUGAAGGCUGUGGAGUGAGCUGCAUGCAAAGUAACAGCCGGUCUGGAUGUUAGAAAGCACGAAGUGCUGCUGCUUUUUGUUUCAUCACAUACUUCCUUUACAGUAACCGUCUCCCCCAUUCCGUGUCUGCACACACGCGCUAUGUACGAAGUCUGUCACACAAAGCUCAUUUGAGGAUGCAAACAGUUUGCUUUGUGAGGCUCACAUCUCUGUGAGUCACCCAUUCAGAGCAGUUUCCAUGAACAGAGGAGGAAAUUCUGGCCCUUCAGAGUUUUGUGUCACUUCUUUCUACAAGAGUGUUAGCUGCUGAGAUGUGCUUUAACCUAGAUCCUGAGCUAUCGCUGUCAGCACCUCUUCCUUUUUGUGCUACCAGAAAUGAAAAACAGAUCAUCAGUUUUUGGUGGUGAUUUGAUACAUUCAUUUUGAGUUGGUAUUUUAAAAAAAGGGAAAAAGGAACAAGGGAAAAAGUAACCCUUUUCCUCUUACAUCUGCUUAUACUGCUGAGAAGCAGAGACUUUACCUAUGAACAGUGUCAGGUGCUGACUUUGUUAAGGGAGAAAAAGGAAAACCAUUUUUUUGCCCACUGUAUGUGUUUUUGCAAUCUCCUUUUACUAAAGGGGGAAAGAAGGACCAUGGGGGUAAAUUUGCUUGGUCCUCUGCCUACCCCUUAAAUAUCAAAACUGAGGAUUGUUUUGGCUGAACUCAAGCUGUGCAUCUGUGAAAGAGGUGGGGGAAAGGGGAAGAGGGGAAGGAGAUAACAGUACCUUGGGUUUCUGCAUGAUGUUUUAGUUGAGAUGACUCAAAGUUUAAAACAAAAAAAAAGAAAAAAAGAUUCAACACGAAUGGGGAAAACAGUCUGAGGGAACAGCACCUCACCUCAUCCUCAGCUAGGUUUCACUUCUGUGGAUCCAGGGUUGGUCUUGUGAUGCUGUGCUUUGGAUGUUUAAAAACAGUGCACAGGCAGGCGCUGCUGCCUUAAGGAAGCAUUAAGGAAGCAUUUGGGGCUGGAGCAAAGCUGGGUGGUGGGAGGCGAGGCUGCUGGGAGUGUGGGAUGGAGCCCAGCCACCACAGAUCUCUGCUCCCUCGUUUGCAAAUGUUCUGAUAUCCAGUGCUCAUAAAAGGGUUGCUCACUCUUCCCCCUUUGCAGGGAUUUCUCCUCAUAUUCUUGGAGUUGUUUCUCAUUUUUCUUUGGAUACAUACAUUCUCAUGGCACGUAAGCACUGCCCACCUCACUAGAGACCGCACAGAAGUGCUGGACAGAAAGCCUGCUGUGUCUGCACAUCUGAAGAAGGAUGCUCUGAAAAGAAGAGGAUGAGGAAGCAGAAAUCCUGGGGUUGUUCUCAGCACACCACAGUCUAGCCAUUGCCAAGGGCUGGGCUGGUUUUUGUCAGCAAACUUCAUGGCAAGCUUUUUAGGGAGGAUUCCAUAGCUGAGUGGGUAGGAUGGCAUGCAGGUGGUGCAAAUUCACUUGGAGAAGGUGUGAAAUUGAAAGGAUGGGAAAAAGUAAUGCUGAGGGAUGAUGGCAGAGGGGAAAUGAAACAGUGUGAGUAACAUAUAGAAAGGCUGGGAUAGUCCAUGACAGCCUCCCAGACUGUUGAUUAAUAGUGUAACUUGUGAUGCAGGGGUGAGGAAGCUGCGGGCAGGCGAGGUGCCUUUCUUUUCUCACUGCAGGCCUUCAUCCAUGCCGAUAGGUUGUGAUUCUUCAGUAGGACCACAAGACUGGGUGGGCUGUCCCUUUUCUUGCAGUCUGAUUGGUUGGUCUGCUCAAUUCUUGUACCUCUUUGCACGUCACCGAUGCCACCAGUGAGCAAAGAAUCACCUGAUGCUACAUGUGUCACCUCAUUGCUUUUUCCUAAAGAAGGAGCUGUUCCAUGAGCAUUUUGUCUCAUGUUGACAACUUUGCCAUUUCUCUGUGACUACCACACAGUUUUGCCCUUUAGGCCAUGCAGGCGGCCCUGGGUGGCAGCAGGUGGAGCUCUGCUGGUUCCCUGUGCUCACUUUUGGGGCUGACCAUCCCCUAGCACUACCAAGGUGUACCAGCUAGCUCAAGGUGCUGAUAAUCUAAAUCAGAGUCUAAUUAGUGAGAAAAAUAAUUGUUCUACUUGAGAAGAGAGAGCAUCCACUGCUAUGGUCCUCUUACCUUUCUACUUGAUUUCCCUCAAAUGCCCUUCAACAUCUCCAAUUUUCAGUUUCCUUUACCUCCCCUCUACCCUCCCAUGUCCCCAGGCCCCUGGAUUUUCCCUUUUUUGGAAGGCUGCUGUCAUUCUGUGCUGGAGAGGAAGCUUUGGGAACCAGCCGGAUGGGAACAGCAGUAGGGAACAGCAGGCUGGUUAGCAGAUACCACAAAAGAGCAAUGUGCAAAGCCUUAGAAUGGUCCUGGGGAAUAUUUUACUGCUGGAGUGCUUGUCUGGAGUCACCAAGAAGGGCUGAGCUCAUCUCUGAGCUAUUUGGUCCUGCUGCAGGGCCUCACUGGGUGGCACCAGGAACAACACCCUCCCUCUCCAUCCCACCUGGCAGGAGGGAAGCCCAGGAGGCUUUUGGAAUUUGUUCCUGCUCACUCUGAGCCACAGGUCACAUCCUGGCUUUGGGCCAUUGCAACCUCCAGGUGAGCCAGAACUUGGAUGAAAUGUCCCACUACCUGAAUUUGGUGGCUCUGCAGAGCCAUUUGUUAUUGAGUUGCUCCAUCUCGUGGUUGAAGGGGAAAUGAGAAGCACAGCUUCAGCCCUGCACUAUCUCAGCCUCUAGCUAUGGUUGAUCACCAGGAGGAACCGUUAAUCCUGUAGCUCAGACAGCUUAUCCUAUAACUGCCUCCACCAGCAAAGCACUUGGCUCCCUGCACUGACCAUCUUUGCUCCACUGUCUGCACCGUGGAUGGCCCAGGAGUAAUGAGCAAAGGGAAAGCUGUGCCUUUCGUGAUGGGUAGAGAGGGCAAAAGCACAGAAACAGCUGAAACAGAACUUUUCCAUAGAGGAGGUGACCAUAAGCAUUGCUGAUGAGGCCAGGAAACUGCUGUGCCAGUGCAGAGCUCUUUCUCCAGGGGGAAGCCUUCUCACCAGCUUUUAGUGUCCCUUGGAAGGACUCCACAGCCUAAAGGAGGAACCUGCAAACCCUGGCUGUGCAGCAGGACCAUGUCUGUCUCAAUGGAGAAAGGUUCUUUCAGUGGUGGAGGAGCUAAAUCUGCUGCCUGAGUGAGCAGGUGAGCUGACGUCUCUCUUUGAGGUGGUUUUGAGUUUGUUGAAAUGUAUGACUCAUUUCAACAGAGAUAUCAGCUGGGGAUGCUGUGUGGGACUCUUGAGGACAUGUCAGCAGGAGGGGUAUUUUCUGUGUCAGUGCUCUGAGACUAGUGACAUUUGAAACCAGUGAAUAUUUUUCCUCAGUAUUCUACUACGUACUGGUCUAAAACCCAGGCAGUUUAGGCAACCCCCUACCUGCCUGUUCUGCUCUCAGCUGCACAACACCUGCAGCCAUCUUGGAGGGGACAUGCAUGUCAUGCUGCCACUCUGCCUGCUGCCUUACUUUUGGCUCGGCCUAGUGGCUGUCCAGCAGUGCUGAUGUACCCACAGAGGGCCCCCGCCCCGCAGUGUGCCUCCUUCCAGCCAAAUGGCUGACUCAUUCUGACACUUCAAAGGUAUUUUUAUGCUUUUUCCGACUCAAACCCUCACCUACAUUUGUCUUCAACUCAUACUCAGGUUGGAUGUUAAAAAGAAUCUCUUUUCAUAAAGAGUGGUGAGGCACCGGCACAGGCUGCCCAGGGAGCAGUGGGGUGGGGCAGUCACCAUCCCUGGAGGUGUUCCAGAGCCAUGGAGAAAUGGCACUGAGGAACAUGGUCAGUCGGCAUGGUGGGGUGGGGUUGGACUUGAGGAUCUUAGAGGUUUUUUAAUGUUUAUUUAAUGAUUUAAUGAUUCUAUGAUAUAACCCCCAUCCCUGGCCUGACAAAGCAGGCACUUCAGCUGUCCUUGUGCAAGGUGGAAAAAAAAAUCAAUAACUGAAGCUGACUGAGGCACUUUCGCUUUGUCUUCCAUAGAGCCAAUGUGCACAUACAACUCUGGGAAGGUGGCUGUAUAGCUGCACCUCCUAUCCAAAAAGCGGCCAUACACAUUUUUGAGCCACCUGGGCUGCUCGUGUGGCCGAGGAACUGUGUCCCACCAGCGUACUGCUCAUGGUGACCAGCAUCCAAUCAGCCUCCACGUAGCGUUUGUUCUCAGUGUUUUCUGCACCUCAUUUCUGGGGGCGUGUGAACUAGCACAGCAUGUGUGUACAGUGUGUGACAAGUUACUGCAGCCCGAUGGGCCUCGAAAAUCAUUGUAAGAAAAUGAUUAACUAAGCAGGAACAGAAGAGUCAUUUUAGGAAAGAGAAAAAGUGCUUCUAAUAGGACGUCCUGUCUUUGACUGAAGCCAGAAGUGGACGUUUAGGGGAAGAAUGUCAGAAAGUGGGAUCCUGCUGCUGACAGUACUUCCAGCAGCAAGCUGCUCAGUGAAUAAGGAAAGGGUGGCCAUACAGCCACUGAGUUCCGCGGGUCACUUCUUUCUUCCCAUUUCCCACAGAGUUCUUCUGCUGAUGUAUAUCUGUGCAGUGUGUGAUACACUUGUGUCUAUUCAGCAGCAGAGUCUAGCAUUUUAUUCUUGAAAACACCCAUAUAACCGUUUCGUUGAAUCAUGGCUUCCAGUCUUCUAAAGGUGGCAGAGAUUGAAGGGCAGCAAAUCUCCAAGUGGGUUGUGUUGGAUAAUUAACAGGGAGAGAUGAACUAGAAAUGCGGUCACAGCCAUCAGAAUUUGGCACCAGUACUUUUCCCUGAAUAUACAUGAAACUAUACUCCUCAAGAUAAAUAUUUAUUCAGCAAAAUCAUAUGAUUUCCAAAGACUUGUUCUAAAAAAAAAAAAAGUUUUUUUUUGUAUUUUUGUUUUUUUAAAAUCCGUUUUGCUUUCUCAGAGUUUUGCUGUAUUAUUUCAUUACCCAAGCAGAGUGUGAAUGGAAUUCCCUCUCUUCUGGUUGCAUGCUUGAUCUGGGCAUGUCAUUUUGGUGCUUCACUACCUUUGUAACCUGUUGACCCAGUUUUACCUCUGCCAAGCACUGUGCUGAUGAGGCGAGGUGUUUGCUGCAUCCAACCAAGCUUUCUUUAGAGUGAUUUGGGUGUCUGCACAGGACAUCACAAGGCACCGUGGCUGACCUGCAGGGUUAGCCACUCAAGUCAGGGAGUUCCCAUCCUCUCCUAAAUGUUCUGGUAUCAUCCUGGUUACACCAGAGGUGGGAUCUGUCAUCUUUUCAAUUUUACGCAUGGGAAAUCAUAGAGAAAUGCAAAAGGACUUUCCAGAAGUGGUAUGAAAGAGUGGAGUGCAAUUUCCCAAAUCCAGAUAUCUUCUUCCUGAUGCCAACACUAUUUUUAGGCUGUUCCUUCCCAGGGACCAGCUCCCAAGUUGAACAGCACUGUACUGAUCAUGUCUUGAUAUUCACGCUCCUUUGGGAAGUCCUGCAAUCUUCAGAACCAACUGCUGUCCGCCAUUUCAUAUGGAGAAUUAACUAUUCCCACUUGGGGAACUCUACGAUUCUGGGUUAGAAAUGCACAUUUGAAGGAGAACCCUUAAAUGUAACUCACCUGGAAACAAAUGGAUAUGCUAUACAAUUGUGGAUUACCCCUGUUCUGACCAGCAGCUUCCACACCAAUGUCCAGGGGACCACUGGCAGAGGACAAAGCUUCUUUGAGCAUGCAGUACAUAUGAAUCCCUGGGAGAAGAGCUGGGCGUUUGAGGGAUUCACAUUCAGUUAUACCAAGUGUUACCUGGCCACUGUUGACUAAUGGAAGCCAACAACCUUCACUACAGUCUGGCACAGAGGGAUGGCAGUGAAGAAAAGUGGCAGCAGCCAUGCUACCCAUGCCUGCCUUGCAUAGUCAUUCCUGUACUUCAUGUGGAGCUGCCUUGUCUGAGGGUUUAUGCACACCCAGUGCUAUGACUUCCUGAAAGAUGUAUUUCUGUUGAAUGGCUUGAAUUGAAAAAGUGCUGACUUGUAUAGAAACUGCACUUUUUUCCCCCCAGUUUUCUGUAAUAUUUCCUUAUCCAUCUCUCCUCAGUGACUGGCAUUUCUGGACAGAAAGCCUCACACACCCAAGCCUAUAACUGCAAUGGACUGGAGUUGAAUGAAAAUGGCAGGUUGGCCUAAAAGCAACAUUUCCCACAGCUGAGAUGUGGCCUGGAUCAUUGCAGAUAGAGUGAAGUCUGCCAUUUUACGUCUCUGAACUUCAUUGUGAGGGGUCCACUUGGGCAUUUUUGCUCUUCACCACCCUAGAAAUGUGUAAAUGUUCAUUACCAGCAAGCUGCAGUUCAAGGACAGGUUUAACUUGUGGUACUAGGUUUGCAAUAUUUGAUGGAAAGGGGCAGGUGCAUUGCUGCUUGAUGGUGGCUGCGAUCUCCCUCUUCUUUCACUGGGAGCACCUCAAAUCUGGAGGGGCUAGAUAGACAAGUGCUCCUUUUUAGGGCCUGAUGAGAUAGUGUUCUCAUGUUUUCAAAAGCACUGAUUGCCAGAAUUGCUCAAAGUUGUAGAAGAGGGGGACCUAAUAAAGCCAUGGCCAAAGGCAACGACUAGUUAUCUCAGCACUGCUGUAAAGUAUAUGCGUAUGUGCAUUUCACACUGCUUGCCAUCUCACUUGUCAAGAGCGAGAAGGAUGUAUGAGAGCAUGAGAAAUCAAACUUAGUUUGUGACUAAUAGAUCUGAUAGGGAUCCCUUAGUAGCGAUCACACAGCAGAUUGAGAUCCGUCUCAGGAGUCUAAGAGCAAGAACAUUAAAAAUAGCCUUACUCUUUGUGGUCUCCUGACUGAUGUUCUUCUGACAGUAAGCCAGGAAAGCUGUUACUAAUUUGAUGCAAGACUAUUUAAUGGGAGAACUUUAAUCUACCUUACACCUGUAUGCUAUGGAAGUCUAAAAUACAUUAAAGCUAGAAAA